GACUGCUGCCUGUGAUUACACUUGCUGUCUGAAACUUUCCUGUAGAUUUCUCACAGCAUUCGUCACUACCACUGAGGCAGCAGAGUC
rnacentral:snoRNA from 11 species